AUUCAUGGUUUAGAAAUUACCAAGUUUAAUAUUUAGUAAUAUUAAUUAUGCAAAUAUCCACAAACAGUACUUUGAAGAAAGGGUAGUGUGAUGGAUGGUUAAUAUUGAGUGUCAACUUGAUUGAAUUGAAGGAUGCAAAGGAUUGUUCCUGGGUGUGUCUGUGAGGGUGCUGCCAAAAGAGAUUAACAUUUGAGUAAGUGGACUGGGAGAGGCAGACCCACCCUCAAUCUGGGUGUGCACCGUGUGAUCAGCUGCCAGCAUGGCUAGAAUUAAGCAGGCAGAAGAAAUUGGAAGGAGCCGAUUUGCUGAGUCUUCUGGCAUUCAUCUUUUCCCCAUGCUGGAUGCUUCCUGCCCUAGAACAUCAGACUCCAGGUUCUUCAGUUUUUAGACUUUUGGACUUAACCAGUAUUUUCCAGGGGCUCCAGGGCCUUUGGCCACAGACUGAAGGCGGCACUAUCAGCUUCCCUACUUUUGAGGUUUUGGGACUCAGACUGAUCCACCACUGGCUUCCUUGCUCCUCAACUUGCAGACAGCCUAUUGUGAGACUUUACCUCGUGACUAAGUGUUAAGCCAAACAGAUUCUAUGGCUUCCACACAAAUGAGUAAGUGAUGAAGUUUAUGUACAUGAACAUUGCCGGUGCUGAUGAUCUUCCAAGAAUCUAAGGCAUUUAAGGAAUGCUAAUGUCAUUUGGGAACUGCAAAUCGAAACCAUAAAUAUAUACCAAUUUACCUCCACUAUGAUGGCUAGAAUGAAAAGGAUAGAUGGUAACAAGUGUUGACAAGGAUGGCAGAAAGUAAAACCCUCAUGCGCUGAUGGUGAAAACGUAAAGUUGUGCAGCCAGUCCAGAAAAAAUUCUGAUGGUUUAUAAUCAGCUAUAGGACUUUAACAGCUGCUCUCAUAUGCAGAUUACUGAUAACUUUGGAGACUGUGACAUUGGAAUAGAGGAAAACCUACAGGACUCAUGAAGAGCUGAAAUGUUCACGAAUAUCAAGAAGAACAAGAGUUAAACAUAUGUAUUUAUAAAACUUUGAAACAUAUUUUAUCUUCUCUCAACUCCUGUGACUCCAUACCCAAUAUUUACAGUAUUAAAACUUAUAGAUUUCUGGCAUUUCAACCACUGUUGUCUAAUACUGUAUGGAAAUGUAUAACUCUUAAAAAUGUUCAAGUUGAUCUGAGCUAAAGCAAGAAAAAAAUGAGCACAAAGUAAAGGAAGCAAUUCUAAUAAUUGAAACAACAAACAACAAAGAAUCUGAUAGAGAAAACAUUUCCUAAAGCACAGAGUUAAACAAAACUAGAAAUGUGUAAAUGUAUGACAUCAAGUACUGUAUGAAAAGUGCAUUUUUUAGUUUAGAAAAUGUAGUGAUGAUCUUUAUUAUGCACUUAUGUAAAUGUAGGGUACAUACCCAAAUACUAAGACUAUGUAGUAGGUGCUGUAAUAAAUUUAUUCAGAAAUUUUUUCAAAAAUUUCUUUUCUUACAGUAAGAGCCUUCAACAAUAUUGAACCUUCAAUAAGAAUAAUUUAUCUCAACAAUACAUUAGUUCAUUUCACAUGUAUUACACAUCUAACAUGUUAUCAGACACAAUAAAUACAAAAAUUAAUAACAUUAGUUUUCUCAAAUGAUGUACAGCCAAUCAGUUUCUUGACAUCUAUAAGCAAAGAGGCCAAGUAAGGCAAAAGAUCUUAGUUCAACAAGUUUCCUCAGUGAAGGGCAAUAGAAGGGGUCAAUAGGGUAGAGAAGGAGAAAUGAGAUAACUUUAGGUCAUUUGCAGGGGAAGAGCAUGAGAAUGAUGCACAUCAAAUAGGUAAGUAUUAAUAUAAAUUGAAAGCUAAUACACACCAUGGAGACACUGGAUUCUGCAGAAGAGCACAGUCAGCAGGAUAGGAUAUCAGAGGCACAUAUGAAGGGCACGUAAAUAAAGCUAUUAGGUAAAACAAAAGUAUAUUCAUUGAGUUUAUAGCUUUGCUUGCAUGUUUUAGUUUAUGUUCCCCAAAACAGAGUUCAUAGAACAAAGUUUCCCAGCUGAGUGCAUACUGUUAAUCCUGAUCAUAGGAGCACCAAAACAUCUUCAGUGAAUCCAGCAAAUUCCAUGCAUAUAACUCCUUGCCUCUGUUUGGUAGCAGACGUUGUAUUUCCUCAUAAUAAUCAAGGUCUAUUAUCUAUGAUUGAAAAGAAACAUUUCUUUAUCUGAUUGUCCACUCGAUUGAGAAGCUCAAAGGGACCAAGUAGUGCUCCCAACAUUAAGUUCAGUGGAAUGGUGAUUGGGCCAACUGGUGAAAGCAUUGCCUCCUGGGAAGCCAAGACCUUUCAGUCAGUAGAACCCUAAGGCUGAAGAAACUAGAAAUACAAAUACUGGAAGUGAGUCAGCAGGAGUGAUGGUAAAAAAUGUCAAACUUCCCUAUACCCCUUGGAAACAUUAUUUAGCAUUUGACCACAGAAUGAUAUGUCAGUCUUGGUUCCAUGACAAUACUGUAUUCUGUACGAUAUAACUUUGACUGUACCAUGUUGUCAUCCACAACAAUUGCUUUAGGCAAGCCUUUAAGAAAUUAUAAUAAAGGUCUAACAGGCCACAGGUUUUCAGGUGAUACAGCAAUCAGU
rnacentral:lncRNA from 10 species